UUGAGGUGUAAAAUUUAAUUGAAAAUAGUUUACUUGAGUAUUACGAGUUGCAUAAAAAUAUUUUGUUGCAGGGAUCUUAAAACUCAAAAGACUUGGCGGUAUCUUAAAUCCUUCUAGGGGAACCUGUCCUAUAAUCGAUAGUCCACGAUUUACCUCUCCUUUUCUUGAAAUAAUUCAGCCUGUAUACCGUCGUCGUCAGAUCACCUUUAAGAGUUAAAUAAGUUGUCAGAAAGAUAUUUGUAGAUUAAUAUUGCUUCUGGUUGUUGGAAGUAUAUUAUGUGAACAGUUUUCUAGAUGUCAGAUCAAGGUGCAGCCAAUGUAAAGGUAGAGAUGGGUUACAAUAAUUAUUUAUUAUUAACGGAUUUCUUAUUGAAAUUUAUAAGAACUGAAGGCGGACUUAGAAGUAAUUAAUUAAGAGAAAUAGAAAGUCUCGGUGAAGAUGGUACUAAGAUGUG
rnacentral:rRNA from 1 species